rnacentral:rRNA from 1 species
GACGAACGCUGGCGGCGUGCUUAACACAUGCAAGUCGAACGGAAAGGCCCUGCUUUUGUGGGGUGCUCGAGUGGCGAACGGGUGAGUAACACGUGAGUAACCUGCCCUUGACUUUGGGAUAACUUCAGGAAACUGGGGCUAAUACCGGAUAGGAGCUCCUGCUGCAUGGUGGGGGUUGGAAAGUUUCGGCGGUUGGGGAUGGACUCGCGGCUUAUCAGCUUGUUGGUGGGGUAGUGGCUUACCAAGGCUUUGACGGGUAGCCGGCCUGAGAGGGUGACCGGCCACAUUGGAACUGAGAUACGGCCCAGACUCCUACGGGAGACAGCAGUGGGGAAUAUUGCACAAUGGGCGGAAGCCUGAUGCAGCAACGCCGCGUGCGGGAUGACGGCCUUCGGGUUGUAAACCGCUUUCGCCUGUGACGAAGCGUGAGUGACGGUAAUGGGUAAAGAAGCACCGGCUAACUACGUG